UACGAAGGGUGCUGAGCGUUGUUUCGGAAUCAACUGGGCGUAAAGCGCGAGCGUAGGCGGGCGAACCAAGUCAGAGGUGAAAGCCUGGAGCUCAACUCCAGAACUGCCUUUGAAACUGGUUUGCUAGAGUGUCGGAGGGGAUAGCGGAAUUGCUAAUGUAGAGGUGAAAUUCGUAGAUAUUAGCAGGAACACCGGUGGCGAAGGCGGCUAUCUGGACGACAACUGACGCUGAGGCGCGAAAGCGUGGGGAUCAAACAGGG
rnacentral:rRNA from 1 species